GCGGGGCCGCGGCUGCGCGCUGGGCCUAGGGAUGAGCGGCGGAAGCCUGUGGCGAGCCGGUGAACGCGGGGAACGGAAAGGAGGCGGCAGGAGGCGGAGGGCAAGCGCUUCUCCGCAGAACCGGACCUCACGCCUAGGGACCGCGGGAAAGCAGGAGCGGAACCCGGAAGCAAAUGACCUGGAAGUGACGCGCGGCACUUCACUGGCGGACGCUGGCUGGCCGGGUUGUCAUGGAAACAGGACAGUGCUGGAGAGCCCGGACUGAUGUGAAGACCCGCGAUCCCAUUUCAGAGAAGGAACGGCAGAAGUCACGCGGGACUGGAGAGGGGGCCAUGGGUGGUACUGCUGGCGACCGAGGUUAAGGAUCCAGAUCGAGGUGGGCUGGUGGGGUCAAGAAGGCUUAGGAGAGGGCUCUGCAGUUGGCACUUGUUGCUGGCAGAGUACCUGGGUUCGGUUCCCAGCACCCACGUGACGAGUUACAACCAUCCAUAACACCAGUACCAGGGGAUCUGAUGGCCUCUCUCACCUCCACGGUUAUCUGGCGUGUACAUGGUGCACAUACGUAGAUUCAGGCAACACGCUCAUAUACGUAAUAUAAAAGUAAAUCGCUACAUAGCGAAACUCGUUCUCAAUAACAGUGGGUAUAAUUAUAAUAACGGAAAUAAUAAAUCCCUAUUAAUUCAUAGACGACCUCAUCACGCGGUUCAUUCCGAAAGCUGAGUCAGGAUGAGUAACUUAUCGAGCUCCUCCCUCAAAAAAAAAAAGUAAUAAUAAAAGGUUGGAGUUGUAGCCCA